GCAUUGAAUAAUAAUAUGAAAAUCAAGCUGGUAAUAUUCCUAGUGCUGCUCACAGUGUCGCGCAGCACGGGGUACGUGCUCUGCCUCUGUCCGCUGACGCUGCGGCCCGUGUGCGGUUCUGACGGCCUCACGUACGACAACGAGAUGUGCAUGCUGUGCCACAACCCUGACGUCACCGUCGUGAAGCAGGGCCCGUGUUAGCGCAAUAAACAUCAGAACUUAAUCGUUC